UUAGGGGUUGUGCAACUGGCAUUAUGACAUCUUCUUUAGAGUAAGAAGAACUUGAUAGUUUCUCUUCUUCAAGUAUUCUGAGCUGCUUCUCUAACUGCUUUUCUGAGAGCACGUGUUGUUCUUUCAAUUUCCGGAUCCAAUGGUAUUAAUGUUGAUUCUGAAUUAUGUAUACACAAGCAAAAAAUAUCUCAGUAGCACUAUGAUAAACAAGAAAAUAAAACAAAA
rnacentral:lncRNA from 1 species